rnacentral:lncRNA from 1 species
AAACACUUCUCUUAGGACAAACACAGCUUUAAAUAAAUUAAAAUUGUAACACAUAAAUCGUUCCCAAAACAAUCGAGCUACAUUACUUUCCAGCUUCUUAUAAACAGAGAAUUGUACUGACUUUAGAAAAUCGCAGGUUAGUUCUGCUUUACAGCUUAGGGGUUACCAAACUCUUAUUAACUGUACUAUUUUUCUUCUAGCUUCUUGAAUACUUCUGAUGUAAACAGGCCAAUCUCAUUCUUCCCAGGGAUUGGUCUUUUUAGAUCAAUUCCUUCCUCAGCACACGUGCUACACUUCUUGCAAUCUCUCUCUCCAGAUAAAGCCCUGAAUUUUAAAUAAUGCCAUUUUGUCUUACCCCCAUCCUCGUUCCUCAAAAUUAUAGAAAUACGCAAAAUAGGUUGUUUAAUCACACAUUCAUAUUAACAAGUAUAUUUAAAUGUUUUCCCCAACCAACAUAAUUAGAUUUGAUUCAAUACAAAAGCGUUCCCAUUGGAUGCAAAAUAAUUCGGUAUUUCAAAUCCAAACAAAAAGGACAAAAUUAAACCUGAUGUGCCAGAGAAAUAGCAGGGCAAUAAACAUACAUAGUGGGGCAAUAUUCAAACGAAAACAAGAGUGACAAAGUAGGAGAAGGGCUAGAAUCGCAUGGAUGCUAAUUGACAGACAGGGAUAACAGCAUUACGGGCUGAAAUGCAAAGGGGAGCAGCGUCAGAAGACUUCAGUUUAUCAAUAGAUUACAGCAACUAUGUAAGCAAAACCACUAAUGGGACAAGCUAGAAACCUGGGACUGAUCCUACUUUCACUGUCCAAAACCAGCAGUGGAGUCCUUUUGUUUUCUGCUUCAUUACAAGUUUGACUUUUUUGGGGGGGUUUGGGGGAGGAUGUUUUGUUCUGGCUUAAUCAUACUCAAGAUAUAAGCUGGACUAACUGAUUCAAAACCCCCAAGAGAGUAUUUUUAGGUUUUUGUUUUGUCCUCAGCAAACUACCAUUAUCUUGGUGAUCAUGAAAAUAAUAUGUCACCAAAAAGCCCAGUGCUAG